UUGGCUACUUUAGUCGUUUCUGGGAGCACUCAUUUUCUCUAGCAUGUAAAGAGAUUCUGGAGAAUUGCAUUGCGGGUGUCCCAAUACUUAAUGUACCUGGCUCCAUUCUGAAACAACAACAACAGAAAGUCCGAUGCCACUCAUCAAACUCCACCCGCAUGUGUUUCAUAUAAAAAUCUUGCCAGCAGCAUUCAUACAGAUACUGAGCGUGAACACUUGUGAUUUCAUCGCAGAGCAUCAUUCACCUCACAAUGACUAGCCAUGGUACUAAAAGAAAGCGUAGUGAUGAACCGUCCGGCUCAAGUGCAAAGCGACCUGACAACAGUUCACAGGAACUUAGAAGUAAGUAAUCUUAGAAGGCAAGUAUUUAUUUUUUUCUCUAAAAUAGCACUGUUAUUUAAUUGUA